UUUAUGGAGAGUUUGAUCCUGGCUCAGGAUGAACGCUGGCGGCGUGCCUAAUACAUGCAAGUCGAGCGAACGGACGAGAAGCUUGCUUCUCUGAUGUUAGCGGCGGACGGGUGAGUAACACGUGGAUAACCUACCUAUAAGACUGGGAUAACUUCGGGAAACCGGAGCUAAUACCGGAUAAUAUUUUGAACCGCAUGGUUCAAAAGUGAAAGACGGUCUUGCUGUCACUUAUAGAUGGAUCCGCGCUGCAUUAGCUAGUUGGUAAGGUAACGGCUUACCAAGGCAACGAUGCAUAGCCGACCUGAGAGGGUGAUCGGCCACACUGGAACUGAGACACGGUCCAGACUCCUACG
rnacentral:rRNA from 1 species